rnacentral:rRNA from 1 species
UACAGAGGGUGCGAGCGUUAAUCGGAAUUACUGGGCGUAAAGCGCGCGUAGGCGGCUUUGCAAGUCGAGUGUGAAAUCCCCAGGCUCAACCUGGGAACUGCAUUCGAGACUGCAUAGCUAGAGUAUGGGAGAGGGAAGUGGAAUUUCAGGUGUAGCGGUGAAAUGCGUAGAUAUCUGGAGGAACACCUGUGGCGGAAAGCGGCUCACUGGACCACAACUGACGCUGAGGCGCGAAGGCGUGGGGAGCGAACGGG